UACGGAGGGUGCAAGCGUUAUCCGGAUUCACUGGGUUUAAAGGGUGUGUAGGCGGGCUGUUAAGUCAGUGGUGAAAUCUCCGGGCUCAACCCGGAAACUGCCAUUGAUACUAUCAGUCUUGAAUUCUGUUGAUGUGGGCGGAAUAUGACAUGUAGCGGUGAAAUGCUUAGAUAUGUCAUAGAACACCGAUUGCGAAGGCAGCUCACAAAGCCAUUAUUGACGCUGAGGCACGAAAGCGUGGGGAUCAAACAGG
rnacentral:rRNA from 1 species